rnacentral:lncRNA from 1 species
AUCACAGUAUGUUUUUAGAGAAUUUAAACAGGAUUGAAGACCUUCUUUGUUUUCAGAUAGUAAUAGUAAAUCAUCAGCAUAUAAUAAUCAAUUCAUUCUAGUGUCUAUAAGCUGCACCGGAAAACAUGAUUCUUGGGGGAAAACUGAAUCAAUGUCAUUUACAUAUAUAUUAAAUAAGAGGGGGCUUAAGCCAUCGCCUUGU